rnacentral:rRNA from 1 species
CCUACGGGUGGCAGCAGUGGGGAAUUUUGGACAAUGGGGGCAACCCUGAUCCAGCCAUGCCGCGUGAGUGAAGAAGGCCUUCGGGUUGUAAAGCUCUUUCAGACGGAAAGAAAUCGCAUCUUCUAAUACAGGGUGUGGAUGACGGUACCGUAAGAAGAAGCACCGGCUAACUACGUGCCAGCAGCCGCGGUAAUACGUAGGGUGCGAGCGUUAAUCGGAAUUACUGGGCGUAAAGCGUGCGCAGGCGGUGAUGUAAGACAGGUGUGAAAUCCCCGGGCUCAACCUGGGAACGGCGUUUGUGACUGCAUCACUCGAGUACGGCAGAGGGAGGUGGAAUUCCACGUGUAGCAGUGAAAUGCGUAGAGAUGUGGAGGAACACCGAUGGCGAAGGCAGCCUCCUGGGCCAGUACUGACGCUCAUGCACGAAAGCGUGGGGAGCAAACAGGAUUAGAUACCCGGGUAGUCCCA